UGGGAUAUAGUUCAGUGGUAGAACACCUGCCUAGCAUGCCUGAGGCCCUGGGUUCAAUCCCCAGGACUGCAG
rnacentral:tRNA from 1 species